rnacentral:rRNA from 1 species
GACGAACGCUGGCGGUAUGCUUAACACAUGCAAGUCGAGCGAGAAUCGUUUUGCUGAAGGCUUCGGUCUGAAGCAGAAUGAGGAAAGCGGCGAACGGGUGAGUAACGCGUGGGCAACCUGGCCUUAAGAAAAGGAUAGCCCCCGGAAACGGGGAGUAAUACUUUAUGAGAAUAGAAAAGGGCAUCCUAUUUCUAUUCAAAGCGCAAGCGCUUAAGGAUGGGCCCGCGUAUCAUUAGCUAGUUGGUGAGAUAACAGCCCACCAAGGCAACGAUGAUUAGCCGGUCUGAGAGGGCGAACAGCCACAUUGGAACUGAGAGACGGUCCAAACUCCUACGGGAGGCAGCAGUGGGGAAUAUUGCGCAAUGGAGAAGAACUCUGACGCAGCAAUACCGCGUGAGAGAAGAAGGUCUUCGGAUCGUAAAGCUCUGUUAUCAGGGAAGAAGAAAAUGACGGUACCUGAUGAGCAAGUCCCGGCUAACUACGUGCCAGCCGCCGCGGUAAAAC